CGGGGAGCCGGCACCCUGGGCAGGGCACUCUCCAGAUGACGCUGGUUCUCAGAGACGCCAUCUGCUUUUGUGACACACGACCGGGGAAGAGAGAAACAAGCAGGCUGAGCUUGGGAGCGACUCCUGGUCGGCAGCCAACCACCACGCCCGGCAGCUGCCUCCAGACCGGUCCCUACCCAGCGUCUCUCCGCUCCGGGUCCCGAAGCCCCACCUUGCCGCAGGUGUGCACCAGGCCGGUGUUUCUCUCCGCUCGGCUCCGCCGUCUGGGGGACGGCAGGAACUCGACCCAGUACUUCCCACUGCUCCCCUCUGACCAGGCUUCCCGGAGCCCAGGACCUCAGGAAGCCCCUCCCUUGGCCGUCAGCCCCCCGCAGAGCCCUGGAUGCCAUGGAAACCGCCAGGCUUGGUGGCAGAACUUGCCAGAGGCCCCUGUACCAGGGGCCACUCAGGAGCAGCAGCCACGUCUCUCAGCCCCAGCAGGGCCCAGCCCGCCUACCCUCCCCAGCAUAGACUGCUGAGGCCUCUUCUGCCUGGACACUGCCUCCCCAUCAUUGUCCCUGUCACCAGCUCCAGCACACCAGGCUCUGCUCCCAGCCCCCGGCCAUCACACACUUCGUGGCCUGUGCCCACCACACUGUUCAUCCACUGGCAAACUCCUUCCCACUCUGCAAAGCCCAGUUCCAAGGACCUGAAGAGGCUGCUGUGGUCACGGCUCAAUGCUGGUCUCGCUGAGAAGUCGUGGCUGCCUCACCUCCUCAUCGAGCUGCCAGGCUGUGAGCCCCAGUCGGAAGAGCGGCUCCUUUUCUCUGACUGCCCACGAACAGCCUUGGGGACGACCAUGUUCAAAUGUUCAUUUGCAACCAGCUGCAGGAUUGGAUUCAACGGCAGUCAGAAAGAAAG
rnacentral:lncRNA from 1 species